CAGCACCUCAAGUGGUCAGGAUGAUUAUUGGGCCUAAAGCAUCCGUAGCCGGCGCUGUAAGUUUUCGGUUAAAUCUGUACGCUCAACGUACAGGCUGCCGGGAAUACUGCAGCGCUAGGGAGUGGGAGAGGUAGACGGUGCUCGGUAGGAAGGGGUAAAAUCCUUUGAUCUAUUGAUGACCACCUGUGGCGAAGGCGGUCUACCAGAACACGUCCGACGGUGAGGGAUGAAAGCUGGGGGAGCAAACCGGAUUAGAGACCCGAGUAGUCC
rnacentral:rRNA from 1 species